CCUGGCUCAGGAUGAACGCUGGCGGCGUGCUUAAUACAUGCAAGUCGAACGAAGCACCUGCGACGGAUCCCUUCGGGGUGAAGAUGCUUGUGACUGAGUGGCGGACGGGUGAGUAACGCGUGGGUAACCUGCCUUAUGCAGGGGGACAACAGUUAGAAAUGACUGCUAAUACCGCAUAAGCGCACGAGACCGCAUGGUCAAGUGUGAAAAGAUUUAUCGGCAUAAGAUGGACCCGCGUCUGAUUAGGUAGUUGGUGAGGUAACGGCCCACCAAGCCGACGAUCAGUAGCCGACUUGAGAGAGUGAUCGGCCACAUUGGGACUGAGACACGGCCCAGACUCCUACGGGAGGCAGCAGUAGGGAAUAUUGCACAAUGGGGGAAACCCUGAUGCAAGCGACGCCGCGUGAGUGAUUGAAGUAUUUCGGUACGUAAAGCUCUAUCAGCAGGGAAGAUAAUGACGGUACCUGACUAAGAAGCCCCGGCUAACUACGUGCCAGCCGCGGC
rnacentral:rRNA from 1 species